rnacentral:piRNA from 1 species
UUAACAAAAACCACCUGGCAAGACUUUUGCU